CCAGUCACAUGAUGGGGAGUGAUUUACACUCGCGCCACAUCAUUACCACAUUGAUAUUAUGUCAAUUUUUUUAAAAAAAAAAGUCCACGUCACCCAUUGCUUCUUCUUCACCAAAAUAUCAUUAAAACACCACCAUUACCACCAUCAUCAUCAAAUUCAAAUCUUCACCACAAUAAUUUUAAGAAUCCACCAUAAAUUUCAUUAUCGAAAUCACCAUACAACCAUUAGUAUCACAAAAAUCACAAAUAACCACCAUAAAAUUCAACAUCCAUUACUAAAAUUACUAUCGAAAUCACAAUAAAAAUCACCAUUGUUUCUUUGAACUUCAUUGACUCACUUCUCUCUCUGUCUUCUCCAUUUUUCAAUUUCUUUCCCAGGUGUCACCGUCGUCGUCCACCACCAUCGCCGCCGCCAUAACCACCGUCACACAAUCCAUUUUUUCAAUUCAAUUCUCAUACACGUACCACUGAAGACACCCAUAUAAAUACAACAACAAAAUUACUCAAUGAGACUCCGAAUUUUCUAUUCACAGAUUUUUCCUUUCCUUCUUCACUAAACAACACACUCACACACUACUGUACGCACAUACACACAGAUACCAUUUUUUCAUCGACAUCACAGACUCCAACUCCCAUCAAUUCACUCACAGAAACAUCACACACAACAACAAUUUCACACACACUCACACCAAAUCGAAAGGAAGAGAACACACUCACAACUCUCAUAGACACUCCUCCAUUUUUCUUUGUUCACUCACAGAACUGCGUGUUUUUUUAUUUGCAAACAAAAAUGGGUUGUUGUGUUAGCAGUAGCAACAACAAACUAUUACCUCCAACUAUAUCCAAUUCUUCACAAUAAAGUGAAGAAGAAAUAGUUAAAGAAUGAAGAAGAAACAGUUAAAGAAUGGUGAUAUUGACAAAGUGGAUGUUGAAUUUUAUGGUGGUUGUUUGUGAUUUUUGUGAUACUAAUAGUUAUAUUGUGAUUCCGAUAAUGAAAUUUAUGGUGAAUUCUUAAAAUUAUUGUGG
rnacentral:lncRNA from 1 species